rnacentral:tRNA from 1 species
GAGGCGUAGCUCAGCCGGUCAGAGCGUUCGGUUCACAUCCGAGAGGUCGAGGGUUCGAACCCCCCCGUCUCC